rnacentral:lncRNA from 1 species
GCCCGCCCCUGCGCCGUGGCCCUUGCAAUCAUUUAGCAGGGUCAUCUCCCCCUUGCAAGUAUUUUUCAGGGUCAUGUGUGUAUGUGUCCCAAAAGCCACCUGCAAAGAUGAAUACACUCUUUUAAAGAAGACAUGCACUUCGAAAAUAGCAGCAGCAGCGCCGCGGCACCUUCGCUGCUGGAACCCGCUGAAAACGUCACAAAGGUUUUGUGACGGAACUUGGCAAGUUUUGUGCAGGGUUGGGAGUUCAGCAAAACAAGGGAAUGGGCGGAUAGUGUGUUCCUGGACAUGACGGAGAGGAGAACCCCAGGUUGUAGUUAGUAACCAUUCUGAGGGAUCGAAAAGAUAGGUGCGACCUGGUUUGCCUGUGCAUGUGAGAGGAAUACUUUCCUUACACCCAGGUCCUCAGACACAGGAAAAUACUGCUGUUGGUUUAUAUAGGUAUUUGCAUCCUUCUUUCCUUCUUUUUAGCCUACAGGGGCAUUCAAAACAGCUUGUAAAAUAUUCUCCGUAUAAACACACUAAAAUCUGGUGCAGGAGCAGAGAUUGCAUGGCAUCCACAAGGAACCAGGACUAUCUAGGCAGGAUUUCUGACAUUCAUGCAACUCCCUUUGAGGUUUUCUGAGGCAUGGGACUGGGGUUAAGUGGUGGGAUCUCAUUCAGCCCAGAUGGCAGAGGCAGCCUUCAGUCCCUGGUUGGCAGUCGCCAGGCAACACCUAAGGCCCUCUGAAGUAAAGGGGUGGGCCCGGGCAACUGGAUCCCUCUCACCCUGAACAGAAUCAUAGAAUUGUGGAGUUGAGAGGGACCCGAAUGGGUCAUCUAGUCCAACCCCCUGUAAUGCAGAAAUGUGUUACCCAACAUGGGGCUCGAACCCAUGAACCUGAAAUUAGAGUCUCAUUCUCUGUAAUGGUUGCUUUGUAGGGCCUUCCCCACAGUUGGCUACUUACAAAUUUUGUCCAUUGUUUUUUCUAAAACUGUUCAAAUAUUCAUCUAGUACAAUUUGAAGCAAGUUCUCUUUUGAGGAUUUGAGCCAUUUCAUUAGUUAUUCCUGCAGUUGGUUAAAUCCCUCAGAAGCAGAUGCAAUUUGCAGGUAGCUGUGUUGUCUCAUUAGACAAAGCCCAAAAGCAACUGUAGUAUGAUAUCCUAUGUCGGGAGUGGAGACCACUUGGCACUCGCUCCCACCCCCCGAAUUGGGUAUUUAAUUUUUAUAUUAGUAAAAACUCUAAUAGAGCCAGUGUGGUGUAAUGGUUAAGAGCGGUAGUCUCGUAAUCUGGGGAACCAGGUUCGCGUCUCCGCUCCUCCACAUGCAGUUGCUGGGUGACCUUGGGCUAGUCAGCCCCACUCUCAGCCCCACUCACCUCACAGAGUGUUUGUUGUGGGGGAGGAAGGGAAAGGAGAAUGUUAGCUGCUCUGAGACUCCUUCGGGUAGUGAUAAAGCGGGAUAUCAAAUCCGAACUCUUCUCUUCUUCUAAUAUUGGGGGGAGGGUUUAACCAGAUAUCUUAGAGCAUGGGCUGAGAACAUUAGGCCCAGUGACCAAAUGUGCCCCCCGUCUAUCAGGACUCUCCCCAUCCCACAACCCCUCCCCAGCUCUGUUACUGAGUGUUUUUACUGGCUCAGGUGUGUCCUUCACCUGUUGUAAAGCUUUUUAGUUACUUUAAAUACAGGGUAGAGAAAGGUGUUGCGUGUUUGUAGAGACUAGCCUACUGUACAAAGGCAAAUCUGCCCAGAUUUGCCCCUAGCCCCAGAAAGGAAUGCAGCUGAAAAAAGUUCAUCACCCUGUCCUGUGUUGUUCUUACAUUCAUGUAAGCCCACUAGCAUCCAAGAGCCCUCAAAAGAAAGAAAGAAAUUUCCCUCUGUUGCUCAAAAUGCACUAUGUGAGCAUUUAAAUUGUACCUCCACAUCUCAAAAUCCAUCAGUUACCAAUAUUUUCACAGGAAAGAUGCGAAAAGCAGGAGGGGAGGACAUUGCUCAGAAUAACUUGAAGCAUGUCUUUAGUCCUGUACAAGAACCAAUGUCAUAGAUUCUAAUGACUCAAAAUCUGGAAGGAGAGUUGAACAAUGGAACAACCUGCCUUAAUAUUUACCCAACCCUGUUCUCAAGCUACGUUCACCAUUUUCUCACUUCAAAGAGUGACUUUUCCUUUUGUGAACAUUUUCAAGGAAAAGUAAGAUAAGCAAUUACUGUAUGCAGUUACUGUAGCCGCCCCCCCCCAAAACCCUAGGUGAUGUGUUCCUAGGCCACGGUGCCAAGCGGUUCUGGCCUUGGUGUGAUGCUGCCUCCCCAGUGACUCGUGGGUCACUAUCCUGUCCUGGCUCUGCGAGUGCCAUGGGUAGCCCCCAUCUGUGGAAUGGUGCACAGUGAAUGAGGCUAAUGACAAUGUAAUUUAUAUAAUUAAUUGCAUAUGAAUCACUAGUCAGGAAAAGUGGGUGGGGCCACAGGUGAGUACUCCUGGGAUAGUAGGCUGCAUUCCAACCAUGCAAAAGUCAUACUCCCAUCCUUCAUCCAGACAAGUAAGGGGCAUUAUCACAUUCCAGCCAGACAAAAGCAUUUGAAGAGAGGGUUGUAUCCUGUGGAGAACCCCAAGGGCCAGAUAUAUAGGCCGCAUUUGGCUCCCAAGCUGAGGUUCCUCACCUCUGCUUUAGAAUCUCUCUCUGAGUCUUCAAGAAGGCAUUUCCAGAAAGAUGUUCCAAGUCGUGUGUUGAAUUACCUCACCUCACUUGGCAGGAAGCCCAUGUACAAGCAUUAGGAUAAUAGAUCUGGCUAUGUUUCAGUAUACGUUUUCCAUAGUUCCUCUUCAAGUGUUAAUUGCUGAAUAUCAAUACUCAGAAUGCUGAAUCAGCCCACAAUUAUUUCACAGCAGAGCCUCUGUUACAGCUAGGGAAAUAAUGGUUGUGCUUUUCAGUAAUCUCCAUUGUGUUUGAUAUACAGAGCACUUUUCAAUACCGUGGUACCUGCAGAUGCUUCAGGUUACAGACACUUCAGGUUACAGACUCCACUAACCCAGAAAUAGUACCUCAGGUUAAGAAGUUUGCUUCAGGAUGAGAACAGAAAUUGUGAGGUGGCGGCGCGGUGGUAGCUAAAGUGGUACCUCAGGUUAAGAACAGUUUCAGAUUAAGAACGGACCUCCAGAACGAAUUAAGUUCUUAACUCAAAGUACCACUGUAUAUUAACUAGAUAGAGAGUUUGGGUGUGAUACAAUGGGUUUUUGAGUCACCAUAUGCAAAGCCUUGCUCAACAAUUUGGCCUUCCUAUGUUUGAUUGUGUAUUCACAGUUUGGGCUAUCCCAGAGGUACCAUUCACUUGCUUAAAUACACACAUCUAAGUGAGUUUUAAAACACACUUUCCACACCUUGGUCAUUUGCAGAUGUCAUUUUUUAAGGAUUUUCUUUUAUUUUUAUUUCUUUAAAUCCAAAUCCUAAGAGAAAGAAUUCUACCUUUAGGGCAUAAUUAAAAACGAACAGGAUGCACAAGCCUAGCUUUUGCUUUUAUGAAACUGGAGGCAAAUAAGCAUUACCUAAUUAACAAAAGGAAGAGAAAAUAAAAACUGCCAUUGUCCUUGGGGAAGUUGCGGAAAUUAUAUUGCGCAGGAAGUUAAGAUGAUGACUCUAUCUGUGCUGUGUACUUUUGCCCUUUUCUGUAGAAACAGAAGAGCUAUUUCUCCACAUAUAGCAAACAUCGGGUCUCACCCGACAGGGCCAUUUAGUUCUUUCAUUCAGGAAGGUGAAACACACAGCUUCAGGCAGUGUAAUUUAGGUAGAUAGCUAAAGCCAGGAAUUGAUAUCUGAGAGACUGUAAAGUCUUCACCCUACCAGGGGAGGGGGAGUAAGACAAAAGGGGCAUUUGAUGCUGUACUUCAGGCAACGAAAUAUUGGGCUGGCGCUGUUUGACCAUGAUCCUUGCCUCUGCCCCUUGCUUUUUUCUUUUUCUUUUGCCUGAUCCAAAGCAUAGCCCCUGGUCUGUCUUCAACUACAUUAUUUACCUGUGGGCUUCCAACUGCCUACGCCAGCACUGCACCUCAGCAGUGGUUUGUCUCUGAGCUUGAUAUAAGCUUGACACAAGUUCUGCUCCCUGGUCUUCAGGCAAAAUCUCUUAUUUAUUUAAUAUUUAUAUCCCAGUCUCCCAAGAGACUGUCAAAAUAGCUUACGAAAGAUUCUCAAAACGAAAUCACACUAAAAACAGCACAAGAACAGAAAUUGGAUGAAGUCUAUAUGGAACCAGGAUUUUUCAGGCAGCACUUCUUGAAGAUACUGUCACCCGGUUUGGUGUGACUGGGCCAGUUUGGAUACCUAUGAAGAUACCAUCACUCAUCUGGAGAUUGUGGAGACAGGUUUGUCCAUAAAUGGAACUUGUUGGACACCAUUUUGAAUCAAGAUGGCAGACUGAACCAUUCCAAACUGCGCCAAUUUGAACACCUCUGAAGAUUUGUCCUGUCUCAAGUGCAGUUACUUUUCAUUCAAAAAAUUGUUUUUCUUUGUUCAAAAACAUAGGAGGACAAAAUUUCCAUGGCACCACAGACUACCUAGAUGAGGGGGAGUCCAUAUGCUGAAAAUGUUGGUGCGUGUGGAAGGUUGGUGCCCUUCAUUAUGAGACUCUUGCAGGAUACCUGCCAUUUAAAGCACCAAGACAGCUAUGUUCUUCAAAGCAAAAAUACUUGAGAAAAUAUAGUACUUAAAAGUCAGAUGGCUCCAACUUGGAGUGUUCUUGGCCUUUAUGGGCACAGCAAGUGAUAGGAUUAAGCCAGGCAUAGUCAACCUCAGCCCUCCAGAUGUUUUGGGACUACAAUUCCCAUCAUCCCUGACCACUGGUCCUGUCAGCUAGGGAUCAUGGGAGUUGUAGUUCCAAAACAUCUGGAGGUCCGAGGUUGCCUAUGCCUGAAUUAAGCUUAAAGAACUAGCAGGAAGAUACAACAGGCUUGUUCAUACGACCAUGAUAUGUGAAGGAAUGGAUAAUGUUGCUGCUUGAUCUGGAAUGCACCAUGGAUACAGUGCAGAAUUACCACAGUCCUUGCUCAGGAGCCUAAAGGAGCUUCCAGACUCUUUCUGUUUUGGGGUAGGAUCCAAUCACACGACAGCAAAUUCAGAUUGCAAAAUUAAAGCUUGUUUGCUACUCUUGCACCACAAACCUGCUUACCCCCCACCCCCAUCAAGACUUUUUACAACAAGAAAAUGAAGAGAGGCCAAGCACUGGCAUGGGUUGCCAUAUGUCCUCUUUUUCCAGGGAACAUCCUCUUUUUUGUAGGUAGAGUCGUCAUAGCGAUCCAUAGUUAAAAGUAGGAGUCGCCCAUUGUGUCCUCUUUUUUGCUCUUCAAAAUAUGGCAACCCAACACAAAAACAAUCUCUAGGAAAUGCUUUCUUUUCUCUCUCAACUAUGAAGCAGCCAUAGGCACAGAUCUUAAAGCUCACAGUCAAAUUGUUGGGAUUAUUAGGAUUAUUAUUUGAUGAAAGCAUUUCGAAUGAGGCUUGAGUGGGAAGUAAGUCAUACUUUCAUGACAAGAAGUCAUUGAACGCAGCCAAAUGUGAUGCCACUCAAGCAAUUACUGUUUGCAGAGACAGACAGCAUGCUUAAUAUAGUGGCUUUUCUGUUCCUUCUUUUGCAAACAGCCCAUAGCACCAAAUGUUGUUGUGCUAAAUAAUACGAGGGAUUCUAAUAAGGGUGGCAGCCAUGAAAGGCAUGUCACUGCAAGCUCCAGGCCUUCCCCACUGUUAUCUGGCUCCCGGCCCAGUUUCUGGCCUCUUUCAUGCCCUGAUAAGGGGAAGAGAGAAGCCCUCUCGAGGGAGAUGUCCACCGCAGACUUUGGUCGCCCACAGCUGACCUCACCACAACCAGCCACUACCAAGAAGUCUUCCCCAAAUAGGAAUCCUACUGCAGACAGAGGAAGUGAAAUGGAAUCUGUGACGGUGAUAAAUUAUGUCACUUCAGCCAUAGGUGGCUUAUUUAAAUACCGCACAGGCCAAGCCUCUUCCCACAGGGGCAGGGUGUUCUCUGCAGUUAUUCAUAGAAACCAUGUGGUGGUUUUGAGGUGUGGUGGAAGGCAGUGCUGUGGCCCUAUGACAAUAUCCAUGAGUGUAUAUGUGACAUAGAUCCCAGGGCUGCACUGGCUUCUGAGCAGUCUUCCUGCUAGACCUUUGGUCUCAUCCGGGAGAGCGAUUUUUCUGUUCACAUUAUGUUAGAAUGAGCAUUCUUGAUAGUAGAUUCAUUUGUGACUGAAUGAGUUUUGGGCUUCCAGUUGAAAUGGGUGAUAGCAGCUUUUAGAUAUAGAUAGAUAUAUACAUAGAGAUAGAUAGAUACAGUGGUACCUCGGGUUACAUACGCUUCAGGUUACAUACGCUUCAGGUUACAGACUCCGCUAACCCAGAAAUAUUGCUUCAGGUUAAGAACUUUGCUUCAGGAUGAGAACAGAAAUUGUGCUCCGGCAGCGCGGCAGCAGCAGGAGGCCCCAUUAGCUAAAGUGAUCUUCAGGUUAAGAACAGUUUCAGGUUAAGUAUGGACCUCCGGAACGAAUUAACUACUUAACCCGAGGUACCACUGUAAGUAGGUAGGUAGGUAGAUAGGCACACAGACAGACAGACAGACAGAUUCCAUAGCCCCUAGAGCUCUGCAGCUUCCCUGGCAUAUUGAGAUUGCAAAAUGAUAAACCAAAUAUUAAACAUAAAUUGAAAGGAGAUCAUAGAUUGGUCAUAUGUUUGUUCAUUCUAUCACAUUUGCUACACAUGUUUCCUGGCAGCUGCAUGCACCUUAACAGUGCCAAAUUAAAGAAUAAUUCAUUUGGAAAUAUCACCACACUUGUGAUGAUUUUUAAUUCCACUCAUGUUCUCUGUCUGUGGUUUACUACUUCCUUCUGUAAUCAUUACACUUAUAAGGAAGGUUAUCUCAUCAUACUAUCUUAAAUUUCUGCAUUUCAGGGGAUUUUCUUCCUCUCCUGACAACUGAAAGUAGAACCAUUGGUCUUCUAACAAGAGCUAGAUGAUUCCUUAUCCUGUGGCUCAACAUAACAUUGUUGGCUGCUUCCAACCAUUCUGUGCGUUGAGGAGUUCCAGUGGCACUGUUCUCGAAUGUUUUUGUUUGCUUUGAAUGAGGAACAGAGGAAGGUGCCACAUGCUGUCAGACCACUGAUCCAUCUAGCCCAUGAUGAUGAGGAUGAUUAUAAAUAUUUAUACCCCACCCAUCUGGCUGGGUAUUGUCAACACUGCCUGACAGCAGGUUUUCAGGCUGGAAUGUUUUCUGGUUCCACCUAGGCAUGCCAGGAUUGAACUUUGAGCCUUUUUCAUGCAAGGCAUGCGCCUUUGAAAUAUUUGCUUUAUAUACAAAUGUGCAAGCAGAGCAUAACUGGAAGCACAGAGGCACUCUUGUGAGGCAGCAAAUCUCCUCCUCAACAAGACACCCUGACAGAGAUGCCCCACAUCUAACACAGUAUCUUCAGCCUGGCUUUGCUCCAAACUGUAAAAGCUUAUUUCUUCACAUGAUCAAUAUACAUCUUCUCCCUCCUCUUAGCUAAAGCAGGGAUGACCUUCCUAAGCUCUCAACCUGGCUAUCUUCUUCAAGGCAUUGAAUAAAGAUCUCUAAAUAUCAAGGAACUAUCUUUUAACAGUGAGCUGCUCAGCUGGCCAUUCUGGCAAUCUGCUUAGCAAAGGAAUGGGUUGCUACAGGAGAUGCUCUACUAUGGGUUUUCACUGCUAGGACUUGCAUGGAAAGAUAAUAAAAAUUCAGAAUGCUCCGCCCUUUCCUUCCCACAAGGAAGAAUGUGAGUUGCUUUUAGAGCCGUGAGCAUUGAUUUUCCCACCCCUUCAAAGCUUUGUUGAGG